UGCAGUCGAGCGGUAGCAGGUCCUUCGGGAUGCUGACGAGCGGCGGACGGGUGAGUAAUGCAUAGGAAUCUGCCCGGUAGUGGGGGAUAACCUGGGGAAACCCAGGCUAAUACCGCAUACGUCCUACGGGAGAAAGGGGGCUUUGGCUCCCGCUAUUGGAUGAGCCUAUGUCGGAUUAGCUAGUUGGUGAGGUAAUGGCUCACCAAGGCAACGAUCCGUAGCUGGUCUGAGAGGAUGAUCAGCCACAUCGGGACUGAGACACGGCCCGAACUCCUACGGGAGGCAGCAGUGGGGAAUAUUGGACAAUGGGGGCAACCCUGAUCCAGCCAUGCCGCGUGUGUGAAGAAGGCCUUCGGGUUGUAAAGCACUUUCAGCGAGGAAGAACGCCUAUCGGUUAAUACCCGGUAGGAAAGACAUCACUCGCAGAAGAAGCACCGGCUAACUCCGUGCCAGCAGCCGCGGUAAUACGGAGGGUGCAAGCGUUAAUCGGAAUUACUGGGCGUAAAGCGCGCGUAGGUGGCUUGAUAAGCCGGUUGUGAAAGCCCCGGGCUCAACCUGGGAACGGCAUCCGGAACUGUCAGGCUAGAGUGCAGGAGAGGAAGGUAGAAUUCCCGGUGUAGCGGUGAAAUGCGUAGAGAUCGGGAGGAAUACCAGUGGCGAAGGCGGCCUUCUGGACUGACACUGACACUGAGGUGCGAAAGCGUGGGUAGCAAACAGGAUUAGAUACCCUGGUAGUCCACGCCGUAAACGAUGUCGACCAGCCGUUGGGUGCCUAGCGCACUUUGUGGCGAAGUUAACGCGAUAAGUCGACCGCCUGGGGAGUACGGCCGCAAGGUUAAAACUCAAAUGAAUUGACGGGGGCCCGCACAAGCGGUGGAGCAUGUGGUUUAAUUCGAUGCAACGCGAAGAACCUUACCUACCCUUGACAUCCUG
rnacentral:rRNA from 1 species